GUGCCAGCCGCCGCGGUAAUACCGGCAGUUCGAGUGAUGGCCGCUCUUAUUGGGCCUAAGCGUUCGUAGCCUGCCACGCAAGUUCGUCGGGAAAUCUGCCCGCUUAACGGGCAGGCGUCCGGCGAAAACUGCGUGGCUUGGGACCGGGAGACUUGAGGAGUACGUCCGGGGUAGGAGUGAAAUCCCGUAAUCCCGAACGGACUACCGAUGGCGAAAGCACCUCAAGAGCACGGAUCCGACGGUGAGGAACGAAAGCUGGGGUCUCGAACCGGAUUAGAAACCCGGGUAGUCC
rnacentral:rRNA from 1 species